UGUUGACCUAUGUUACUAAGUUCACUAAAAUGCAGCAUCUGUAUGAAGCUGUGCCUCCCACUGUUUCCAGAUCACAACGUGCUCUGUAAUCAUUUCUAACAGCAGAUGGCGACAGAUGACUGUUGAAUGUUUGUCAUGCUUCUCAGACCUGAAUCCAUCACACAAUGAACCACUGGAGGAGAAACUAAAGAUGUCCUGAGAUGACAGCCUCCCUGUAUGGGAAUCACUGAGAGCCCCCCCUCACCACCCAGUCUCCCCUUCUGUCUGCUCAGUACCACAGCAGAGGCGUCAGCAUUAACAUAAUGAUGCUGUGGAUGUGUUCUCCAGUAAAUAUGGACCAUAUGGUGAAGAAGAGAAAGUGGCUCUUGUAUGCUCAGCUGUCUCCUUCUCCCCGACACUACAGGAGGGUGGGAGGGCCGCAGGAUGUUCCCUGAAUAACAGGCCCCUCUCAUGAGCAGACACCCCAGGGAGCAAGACUGACCCAGCAGGCCACACAGCCCCGCAUGAGCACAUACAUGCUCCCACAGGGUGUCUGAGAGCAGAGGUCGAAUCCCUCACAAAACUCUGAGUUACCACAAUAAACUCGCUGACAGUGUUGAACUGUGAUGGAUAUGCACUGAUAGAGAAGCAUGUUGGUGCAGACAGAAGCUAUCAGCUGAUCUUUGUGUGUUUUUCAGCUUUUUGGUCAUGAAGACAGUCCAGAUUUGGACCAGUUGGGCCGAAGAAACCACUUUGAGUUAUGGAUUACAUUUGACAUAAGAAAGAGUCUUUCAACAAAAUCCAUCUUUCAUGAUGAUGUGUCCUUGUUUCCAUCAUUUCAUGAUGGAUAUGUUAUUUUACAUCCAGAAAAACAAAGAGUUGUGGUGCAAAAGUGAGGUAAUAGUUUGAUUUCCAGUGUUUCCAGAGCGAAUGGAAACACUGAGGUUACCAGGCAAUAAAAUAAAUGUUUGGCUCUAGGAAAGCAUUGUUAUACCCUAUCUGUCAAGCCACCGGAUUUCUUGAUAUCAUGUAUGACGCUUUGAUUUUCUUCCACAUGAGAUAAA